CUUACGCCGCAGUAUAUACUUCAUUAUUGUGGUCUAUCACAUUCUGUCCAAACAAAUUGGCAAAAAAUACGUAUAGAAUAAGAACGAUUUUUAGUUUAUACCAAGACAUAAAUGUACUAGCUGCCAUUAUGUAAUUAUUGGUACCACCUAGAGAAGAAUCCUUUUAGAAUGAAACAAAGGAAUGGAAUUCGAAGGAAUUGUACAAAAAUAUAUAAAUCGGACGUCCUAUUUUUAGAUUGCUAUUCUUUGGUAUGUUAAUCUCCAUCGCGUUUUCGAUACGAUAACUAACAAAUAUGUAUAAU